GCCCGGAUGGUCUAGUGGUAUGAUUCCUGCUUUGGGUAGACCACUAUUCGAAAAAUCUGCAGGAGGUCUCCGGUUCAAACCCGGAUUCGGGCC